AUUGAACGCUGGCGGCAUGCUUUACACAUGCAAGUCGAACGGCAGCGCGGGCUUCGGCCUGGCGGCGAGUGGCGAACGGGUGAGUAAUGCAUCGGAACGUGCCCAGUAGUGGGGGUUAGCCCGGCGAAAGCCGGAUUAAUACCGCAUACGACCUGAGGGUGAAAGCGGGGGACCGAAAGGCCUCGCGCUAUUGGAGCGGCCGAUGUCGGAUUAGCUAGUUGGUGGGGUAAAGGCUUACCAAGGCGACGAUCCGUAGCUGGUCUGAGAGGACGACCAGCCACACUGGGACUGAGACACGGCCCAGACUCCUACGGGAGGCAGCAGUGGGGAAUUUUGGACAAUGGGGGCAACCCUGAUCCAGCCAUGCCGCGUGCGGGAAGAAGGCCUUCGGGUUGUAAGCCGCUUUUGUUCGGGAAGAAAUCCUCUGGGCUAAUACCCCGGGGGGAUGACGGUACCGGAAGAAUAAGCACCGGCUAACUACGU
rnacentral:rRNA from 1 species